rnacentral:rRNA from 1 species
AGCGGCGAAAGGGAGAGUAACGCGUGGGUAACCUGCCCUUGGGACCGGGAUAGCGGCGGGAAACUGCCGGUAAUACCGGAUAAUGUCCCCGGACCAAAUGGUGUGAUUCCGCCUGGGGAUGGGCCCGCGUCCUAUCAGCUUGUUGGUGGGGUAAUGGCCUACCAAGGCGAAGAUGGGUACCGGGUGUGAGAGCAUGGCCCGGCUCACUGGGACUGAGACACUGCCCAGACACCUACGGGUGGCUGCAGUCGAGAAUCUUCGGCAAUGGGCGCAAGCCUGACCGAGCGACGCCGCGUGCGGGAUGAAGGCCCUCGGGUUGUAAACCGCUGUCAGAGGGGAGGAAAUGCAGGCGGGUUAUCUCGUCUGUUUGACCUAUCCUCGGAGGAAGUACGGGCUAAGUUCGUGCCAGCAGCCGCGGUAAGACGAACCGUACGAACGU